rnacentral:rRNA from 2 species
GCGAACUGAUUAGAAGCUUGCUUCUAUGACGUUAGCGGCGGACGGGUGAGUAACACGUGGGCAACCUGCCUGUAAGACUGGGAUAACUUCGGGAAACCGAAGCUAAUACCGGAUAGGAUCUUCUCCUUCAUGGGAGAUGAUUGAAAGAUGGUUUCGGCUAUCACUUACAGAUGGGCCCGCGGUGCAUUAGCUAGUUGGUGAGGUAACGGCUCACCAAGGCAACGAUGCAUAGCCGACCUGAGAGGGUGAUCGGCCACACUGGGACUGAGACACGGCCCAGACUCCUACGGGAGGCAGCAGUAGGGAAUCUUCCGCAAUGGACGAAAGUCUGACGGAGCAACGCCGCGUGAGUGAUGAAGGCUUUCGGGUCGUAAAACUCUGUUGUUAGGGAAGAACAAGUACGAGAGUAACUGCUCGUACCUUGACGGUACCUAACCAGAAAGCCACGGCUAACUACGUGCCAGCAGCCGCGGUAAUACGUAGGUGGCAAGCGUUAUCCGGAAUUAUUGGGCGUAAAGCGCGCGCAGGCGGUUUCUUAAGUCUGAUGUGAAAGCCCACGGCUCAACCGUGGAGGGUCAUUGG